AUGGCAGAGAAAAUGCAGCCAGCGUUACUUGUAACAGCUCACCCUGCUAAAAAGGCAAGGAAAAGAAAGCCUGAGACAGAAAUGGCUGCGACGAAAUAGGCUCUGGAUAAAGAAAGAAGUCUACCUGAGUCAACAUCGGUGCAGCGUUUGAGUGGUGGAGACAACUGGGGCAUGUGGAGGACCUGAAAAGUGAUGCAGAGGUUGCUCUCUUUCUGUUGGACAGCCAUGAGAAUGGCUCAUGAGUCGGCCCAGUUUCCACUGGAUAUGGUGCUGCGUUGCGGAUCCGAUCCGGUUUUGCUCCGCCUUCCGGCAGUCCCCACCGGCUGCGGUUUGAGUCCGCCAUAGCGCAGUAUGGUAGACAGCUGACCUCACGACGUGUGCUGGUGUCACCACGGAGUGUUUUAUUUUGAAAAGUAACCGGAUGUUGUUUCUUAUUUCGGUGCUGUACUUCCUGUCUGCUCCCUGCUAAAUUCAGCUGAAUUGCUGCGUCCUCCAGCAUCUUCUCCCUGCUGAGUCCCACUGCCAGAUGCGCGUUCAAGUUUGUGGGGGCGUGGCUUUAGACGGAGCACUGACGGGAUGGGAGGGAACUUAGAGGAGGUGCCACCCCAAAUCUUGUUAGCUCACUUUCUAGCUCUCCCUAGCUUUAAUAGCUGAUACCCUUACUCACGUACUAUUUGUGUACAUAAUUUUCUUUUACUUUUUACCAAAGUAAUGUUUUUAGAAAAUGCUUCAAAUGCUUUACUUUUACUCAAGCAUGACCUCUAACUGUUGACUUCAAGUGCUUUAACCUCUCAUUAUGCCAGGAUAGGUUGAUGUGACACACACUGCCAGGUAUACUCUGGUAGACAGUGACAUCAUGAGCAGUGAUGCUGGAUGACUUCCCUUUGCGGUCAAAGUGAGACAAUAUUGACUAAAUCUGCCCGUUACUCUUGUAAAAGAUAAUUUGGUCAGAAAUAUGUGAUAAAUUUGCCUUUGAAGAGCCCAAGGUGACCGUUUCAAACCCAGAAAACAACAGCCCGAUUCUCAAAGAAAUUCAGUUUACCAGCAUGAAAAAAUCUUCGAAAAUCCUCACAUUUAAGGAUUGCGUGUCAGAGAAUGGUUUGAAUUCUGCUUGAAAAUUUCUUAUAAAUGAAACUGAAAAUGAUUUUUCUGGCAAUCAAGUAAUUGUAUCAUUCACAAAUCAUAUCAGCCAUAGACUUGUAUCAGUGUAUAUUGUGCCCCUUCGUGUUUGGGGCCCUGAGUCAGUUGCCCUGUACGUAAACCAGCCUUGACUUCUCCACAAAGAUACAUUUUCCUAUUUCAUAACUCUGCACCUGCACUGCAUCUUAUAUAAAUCAUGAUAGGCAAGUAUUAAUAUCAGUGGUGUUAUUUGAAGUAAAGGUAAAUAUAAUUUCCUGUUAGUUACCAUUGAGCUUCGCUCUCAAGACUGCAUCGGGGAUCUUCCUGGAGUUCCAGGCCUUGUCUUGUCUCAAGUCUUCACAAACACCAGAGUAGUUUGAGGCUGUUUGUGGCCUCUCUCUGAGACCUGGAGGGACCCACAGGGCUGAAGCCACAUGAUGGAAAUCUAUGAAUUUCUGUCGACCUUUGACCCCCAGGUCCACCUCUGCUCCGGCGCACAGCUGACCGCAGCAUGGAUCCAGCAGGGGGAUGUCGUCUCGUACAGGAGCCACGGUGACCUGCUCAGCAG